CUCCUUAUAGUUUUGCACCUGAGAAGUAUCUGGAUCUGGCAUUAUUCUACAUUAGUAUUUCAUGCACAUUCCUUACAAUUGAAUAUAUAAGGAAACCAAUGGUUACUUUAAUGAAAUAUAUAAAAUAAGGAGAGAACAUAACAGACCACUCAUCCCUGUAUCAGGUAAGACCAAGUUCAAAGUACCUCAUUACCUGUCU
rnacentral:lncRNA from 1 species